UACGUAGGCAGCGAGCGUUGUUCGGAAUUACUGGGCGUAAAGAGUGUGUAGGCGGUGCUCUAAGUUCGGUGUGAAAUCUCCCGGCUUAACUGGGAGGGUGCGCCGGAAACUGGAGUGCUCGAGCGUGGGAGAGGAAAGCGGAAUUCCUGGUGUAGCGGUGAAAUGCGUAGAUAUCAGGAGGAACACCUGCGGUGUAGACGGCUUUCUGGAACAUUGCUGACGCUGAGACACGAAAGCGUGGGUAGCAAACAGG
rnacentral:rRNA from 1 species